rnacentral:rRNA from 1 species
GUGGGGAAUAUUGGACAAUGGGCGCAAGCCUGAUCCAGCCAUGCCGCGUGAGUGAUGAAGGCCUUAGGGUUGUAAAGCUCUUUCACCGAUGAAGAUAAUGACGGUAGUCGGAGAAGAAGCCCCGGCUAACUUCGUGCCAGCAGCCGCGGUAAUACGAAGGGGGCUAGCGUUGUUCGGAUUUACUGGGCGUAAAGCGCACGUAGGCGGUUUGUUAAGUCAGGGGUGAAAUCCCGGAGCUCAACUCCGGAACUGCCAUUGAUACUGGCAAGCUAGAGUCCGGAAGAGGUAAGUGGAACUCCUAGUGUAGAGGUGGAAUUCGUAGAUAUUAGGAAGAACACCCGUGGCGAAGGCGGCUUACUGGUCCGGAACUGACGCUGAGGUGCGAAAGCGUGGGGAGCAAACAGGAUUAGAAACCCUAGUAGUCC